rnacentral:rRNA from 1 species
AUCUUGCGCAAUGGGCGAAAGCCUGACGCAGCAACGCCGCGUGCGGGAUGACGGCCUUCGUGGUUGUAAACCGCUUUCAGCAGGGACGAAAAUGACGGUACCUGCAGAAGAAGCCCCGGCUAACUACGUUCCAGCAGCCGCGGUAAUACGUAGGGGGCAAGCGUUGUCCGGAUUCAUUGGGCGUAAAGAGCUCGUAGGCGGUUCAGUAAGUCGGGUGUGAAAGCUCCGAGCUCAACUCGGAGAUGCCACCCGAUACUGCUGUGACUUGAGUCCAGUAGAGGAGCGUGGAAUUCCUGGUGUAGCGGUGAAAUGCGCAGAUAUCAGGAGGAACACCGGCAGCGAAGGCGGCGCUCUGGGCUGGAACUGACGCUGAGGAGCGAAAGCGUGGGUAGCAAACAGG